CCUACGGGUGGCAGCAGUGGGGAAUAUUGCACAAUGGGGGAAACCCUGAUGCAGCGACGCCGCGUGAGCGAUGAAGUAUUUCGGUAUGUAAAGCUCUAUCAGCAGGGAAGAAAAUGACGGUACCUGAAUAAGAAGCCCCGGCUAACUCCGUGCCAGCAGCCGCGGUAACACGUAGGGGGCAAGCGUUAUCCGGAUUGACUGGGUGUAAAGGGAGCGUAGACGGCUGUGUAAGCCAGAUGGGAAAGCCCGGGGCUCAACCCCGGGACUGCAUUUGGAACUGUGUGGCUGGAGUGUCGGAGAGGCAUGCGGAAUUCCUGGUGUAGCGGUGAAAUGCGUAGAUAUUAGGAGGAACACCAGUGGCGAAGGCGGCCUGCUGGACGAUGACUGACGUUGAGGCUCGAAAGCGUGGGGAGCAAACAGGAUUAGAUACCCCUGUAGUC
rnacentral:rRNA from 1 species